CGCGCUCUUUUCCAUCGCCCAUUUUGUUUUUAGUUUCUAUUUCAUUCAUAACUGUGCACCGGCGACGGUGGUUGCGUCGUCGGUUCGAGGCCAGUUUGGGGAUUAGAAGUUUAUCGUAUUCGUCAGUGCGAAAGGUGAAAGAAAUAUCGUUAAAAUUGAAGAAAAACAAAAAGAAUGUAUUGAAAAUAAACAAUGGAGUCGGGAGGAAUAAAAAUCACGUAUGCCACACGUUCGGUUUUCCUCGGUUCCCUCGUACCCUGUGUGCCUCUUAUCAAAGCUGUUUUUUCCUACUUCCAACAAAUGAAUGGCUUUAUAUAGAUAGAACAAGUGCUGCUCGAGCGGCAUCUCGAAACGUUGAUACUGCAUGUGCAUAAAGUAUAUCGUCGUUGCUCUUUCGAUACUUCAUUGCACGUUUUUUUCUCUCUCGACAUUUACCACGAUUUCUCGUUCUUGUUGCUCCCUUUAUUUAGCCAAAGCACUACCAUCGGUUAAUACACAUAUCUAAAUCCAUACACGGAUGUUCUCGUGUGUACGUUUGUAAUGUCGGCAACGUGGAGUCAAGGGUUACACAUACACCGCACCACGCGAGGAGAUAAAACCAAUCACACGGCACGCUGAGUGAAUUUUCUCACCGGCACUCCGAAUGAGCUAUCACACGGUACUCGUGAUUUCAUUAACGAUGCAUCGUCACAGGAGCACCUCUUAAGGUGGCGCUUCACUGAAUUCUGUCAUCUACUUACAUCGGAGGAUUUGGGAGUAAUUUCUCGAACACGGUGUACGCGCAUCUGAACGCAAAGUUUGAGCUACACGCACGAAUGUCCUGAACACGCGGAUUCGGUGAACGGUUUUCGAAGGGUUGCAAUGAAAUGGGACAUGGAGGAACUGCGGAGAGGAGUUAACGGCACGGCGUCGCUGGAAGAGCACAAUAACGAGAAUAUGUACAAUUGUAUUUCCCAGCAUCCGAGCAAACUGGAGCUCGAUCUACACGCUCGUGCCAUAUGGAUAGAUCGACGGAAAAAUAGAUGUUGAUCCAAGCGGAUGAAUAGAUGGAUACGUAAGAGGAUGCUGAAGCCACAACUAUGGCUGCUUGUAUCCUCGUAUCUACUCUGCUCCUUUCUCGUUCAUUCCGUCGUCUCCACCGCGUCUGCAACUUUCCCCACCGAUGUACAACACAUACUCGAGAAAUUCUGAGUUAGACUGGAGCAUUCACUGCAGAUUCCCUCUCGCUAGGACGUUUUUCUCCCGUACGAAGCAGCUAACGCAAUGCCAUACAUGCUCUAACCUCAUUUCCGUCUCUCUCCUUUUUCCUGGCUCUUCUUCUAUCCUCCUCUUUUCCUUUUUCUGACGAUGUUCAACAAAAUGCCGAGAGUUCUGGCCGCCGCGCGCGCCCGUUUGAAUCUCGCGGAAGUAGAGGAUUUCUGGGAGACGUGCAUGGCUUUUUAUUGUCGGAUAGACCAUUUGAACAACAGCCAACAUGGCGAAUCAGAGCCCAGUAAGAUUCUUUACCUCUCCCACUUUCGCUCGCGCUCUCGCUCGCUCUUUCCUCCACACGCUCCCUCUCUUCCUCUUUUCUUUUUCACCAAUACCUCAUCUCGUCUCCGUCGAUUCUAUUUUCUUUAUUUCCUAUCUUUCUGUGUAUAAAGACACAGACACACGCUCACACGAAUAUGUCAGAGUACACUCGGUGUUUGUUACAUCCAUCGUGUCCUCGCUGGGCUACACUCCAAGCAAAGAUUUUCAAACUCUUUUGGCCAAGCCGAUGUGAAGCGAGCCAAGCGAGAGCAUCCAACGAAAGCACUCGUCUACGGAGCUUCGUCGUAGAUUGUAAUAGAUUUAUAUGUUCUGGCAGGGCAGAAGGGGCAACAGAAGAGAAAAGAAACGAAAAGGGAAGGCUAGACGAGGCGACACACGCAGAAAAAGAGACGAAAACUGUGAUAUACGGGCGCUUCGUACGUCAACGUUUGUUCAAACCAGUUUGCCUUACGAUAAAGAGAGAUGAAACUUUAUUUGUGUAUACAUCUAUAGAUGUGUAUAUUUUAAUACUGAAAACAAAGAAGAAUGCGAAUCUUGGCCAAAGAAUUUUUCGGAUGUCGCGACGACCAAUCCCACUGCUUAACUGAAUUCUCCGUUUCUAAUCUCUGCCAUAGUCCUUCCACCGAUUGAUGUUGAGGAACACGAUGUUUGGAAUUCGAUCUUGACAGAGAUCGUCGUAGCAUUUCUGAAUGGAAUUCCUUGCAGUACGACUGCAGCCAAACUCUGGAGAUUUUU